rnacentral:rRNA from 1 species
UGAAGAAGAGCUUGCGUCUGAUUAGCUAGUUGGUGGGGUAAGAGCCUACCAAGGCGACGAUCAGUAGCUGGUCUGAGAGGAUGAGCAGCCACACUGGUACUGAGACACGGACCAGACUCCUACGGGAGGCAGCAGUGAGGAAUAUUGCGCAAUGGACGAAAGUCUGGCGCAGCCAUGCCGCGUGCAGGAUUGAAGGCCCUAUGGGUUGUAAACUGCUUUUGUACGGGAAUAAACGCUCCUACGUGUAGGAGCCUGAAGGUACCGUAAGAAUAAGCACCUGCUAACUCCGUGCCAGCAGCCGCGGUAAUACGGAGGGUGCAAGCGUUAUCCGGAUUUAUUGGGUUUAAAGGGUCCGUAGGCGGGCCGUUAAGUCAGUGGUGAAAGCCCACAGCUCAACUGUGGAAUUGCCAUUGAUACUGGCGGUCUUGAGUAUGUAUGAAGUUGGCGGAAUGUGUGGUGUAGCGGUGAAAUGCUUAGAUAUCACACAGAACACCGAUUGCGAAGGCAGCUGGCUAAUACAUAACUGACGCUGAGGGACGAAAGUGUGGGGAUCAAACAGGAUUAGAUACCCUGGUAGUCCACACCGUAAACGAUGGAUACUAGGCGUGGNUUGUAUCGACCCGAGCCGUGCCGAANCUAACGCGUUAAGUAUCCCGCCUGGGGAGUACGCACGCAAGUGUGAAACUCAANGGAAUUGACGGGGGCCCGCACAAGCGG